GAUAAGAACGCAGUGAAAUGCGAUAACUAGUGUGAAUUGCAGAAUUCCGUGAAUCAUCGAGUCUUUGAACGCACAUUGCGCCCCCUGGUAUUCCGGGGGGCAUGCCUGUCCGAGCGUCAUUGCUGCCCAUCAAGCACGGCUUGUGUGUUGGGUCGUCGUCCCCUCUCCGGGGGGGACGGGCCCCAAAGGCAGCGGCGGCACCGCGUCCGAUCCUCGAGCGUAUGGGGCUUUGUCACCCGCUCUGUAGGCCCGGCCGGCGCUUGCCGAACGCAAAUCAAUCUUUUUCCAGGUUGACCUCGGAUCAGGUAGGGAUACCCGCUGAACUUAAGCAUAUCAAUAAGCGGAGGA
rnacentral:misc_RNA from 1 species